UACAGAGGUCCCAAGCGUUGUUCGGAUUUACUGGGCGUAAAGGGAGCGUAGGUGGCAUUCUAAGUCUGAUGUGAAAGCUCUGAGCUUAACUCAGAAAUGGCAUUAGAAACUAGUUUGCUAGAGGAUUGGAGGGGAGAUUGGAAUACUUGGUGUAGCAGUGAAAUGCGUAGAUAUCACUUGGAACGCCAAAGGUGAAAACAGUCUGCUGGGGAU
rnacentral:rRNA from 1 species